ensembl:lncRNA
CAAAGACGUGCACCCCGGGCCGGCCAUGUAGGUUCCCAGGGUUGACCAGUGUUGAACAACUGUAUUGCCUGUACCAUGUGCUGCCUGGUAUUGGGCAACAGUUAUUGGGGCAACACAGUGAAGUGCGAUGGGAAACAGGAUAUUAACAACACAUAAAGGACAAAACAACGUGGCAACAUCCUGUACAAUACACAGAAUAUUUAGGGUGCCUCUCCAAUGGCAUCCUAUUCAUUAUUUAGUGUAGUGCACUAUUUUUGAGCCCAGGUGUGGCUUGGUAAACAGUAGUGCACUAUGAAGUGAACACGAUGCCAUUUGGGACAUAAUUAAUUUUGGGGCAGUGGAUAUUUUACCCGACCAUCUCUAAACUCACCCCUACGACUAACUCUUACCCCAGGGGUGUCAAACUCAUUCCAUGAAGGGCCUAGUUUCUGCAGGUUUUUGGUUUUGUCUUUCAACUAAGACAACCAGGUGAGGGGAGUUCCUUACUUAGACCUUGACAACCAGGUGAGGGGAGUUCCUUACUGAGACCUUGACAACUAGGUGAGGGGAGUUCCUUACUGAGACCUGGACAACCAGGUGAGGGGAGUUCCUUACUGAGACCUGGACAACCAGGUGAGGGGAGUUCCUUACUGAGACCUGGACAACCAGGUGAGGGGAGUUCCUUACUGAGACCUGGACAACCAGGUGAGGGGAGUUCCUUACUGAGACCUGGACAACCAGGUGAGGGGAGUUCCUUACUGAGACCUGGACAACCAGGUGAGGGGAGUUCCUUACUGAGACCUUGACAACCAGGUGAGGGGAGUUCCUUACUGAGACCUGGACAACCAGGUGAGGGGAGUUCCUUACUGAGACCUGGACAACCAGGUGAGGGAGUUCCUUACUGAGACCUGGACAACCAGGUGAGGGAGUUCCUUACUGAGACCUGGACAACCAGGUGAGGGGAGUUCCUUACUGAGACCUGGACAACCAGGUGAGGGGAGUUCCUUACUGAGACAACCAGGUGAGGGGAGUUCCUUACUGAGACAACCAGGUGAGGGGAGUUCCUUACUGAGACAACCAGGUGAGGGGAGUUCCUUACUAAGACAACCAGGUGAGGGGAGUUCCUUACUAAUUAAUGACCUUUUUUCAUCAAUCAAGUACAAGGGAGCAGGGAGCAGGGAAAACUGGCAGACACUGGGAGUUUGACACGGGCCUAACCCUAACCCUUACCCUAACCCUAACCUCGUCCUUAGACUAAUUGUUACUGAGUAUAAGGGCAUAUUCAACAGAGAGAGAGAGCUGACUGGUGGAGGAGACUAGACUUGCCCUCACACAGUCCAAUAUCCACUUUUGCUUAUUUGAUAAAUAAAAAAUAUUCCUCACUCAGAUCUCACAUGUACUCGCUAAUGUCUGUCCACUGAUUACUAAAAUCUCCUCUCAUUUCCUUACUGUUAGUGUGUCUGACUCAUUGUUUUUGGGCUGGGCAGGACAUCCUCAGCUGCCUCUAGUUGAUUUCUCUCUGCUUUCCUGCUCUCUCUCUUUCAAUUUCCUCCUCUCUUCUCUCUCUCUCUACAUUUCCUUCUCUCUCUCUCUCUCCAUUUCCGCCUCCUUCUGUUUGCCCAUUUGAUUAACUCUGAUCAUUUCCUCCUUAGGUUUAGAUUACCAGCCUUGGACGCAGUAGGCAGUGUCAGUCAGCACCAGGCAGGUGUAAGGGCGG